AUUGAACGCUGGCGGCAUGCUUUACACAUGCAAGUCGAACGGCAGCGCGGGCUUCGGCCUGGCGGCGAGUGGCGAACGGGUGAGUAAUGCAUCGGAACUUGCCCAGUAGUGGGGGAUAGCCCGGCGAAAGCCGGAUUAAUACCGCAUACGACCUGAGGGUGAAAGCGGGGGACCGAAAGGCCUCGCGCUAUUGGAGCGGCCGAUGUCGGAUUAGCUAGUUGGUGGGGUAAAGGCUUACCAAGGCGACGAUCCGUAGCUGGUCUGAGAGGACGACCAGCCACACUGGGACUGAGACACGGCCCAGACUCCUACGGGAGGCAGCAGUGGGGAAUUUUGGACAAUGGGGGCAACCCUGAUCCAGCCAUGCCGCGUGCGGGAAGAAGGCCUUCGGGUUGUAAACCGCUUUUGUUCGGGAAGAAAUCCUCUGGGCUAAUACCCCGGGGGGAUGACGGUACCGGAAGAAUAAGCACCGGCUAACUACGUG
rnacentral:rRNA from 1 species